rnacentral:rRNA from 1 species
UACGGAGGGUGCAAGCGUUGUUCGGAUUUAUUGGGCGUAAAGAGCGUGUAGGCGGUCCGGUAAGUCAGCUGUGAAAGUCAAGGGCUCAACCCUUGAAUGCCGGUUGAUACUGUCGGGCUAGAGUCCGGAAGAGGCGAGUGGAAUUCCCGGUGUAGCGGUGAAAUGCGCAGAUAUCGGGAGGAACACCAAUGGCGAAGGCAGCUCGCUGGGACGGUACUGACGCUGAGACGCGAAAGCGUGGGGAGCAAACAGG